rnacentral:lncRNA from 1 species
ACAGCUCCCCAGGCAUGCUCAGCCGCACGCAGACAGGUGCCCGUGACCCUGGCAGCAGCAUGCCAUUCUGAGGUCACCGCAUCAGGUUCAGACUUGGAAGUGGAGUGAACAUGCUCCCCCAAGUAUGUGGCAUGGCUGGACCACCAGCAUGGGUUUGGGUGAGGCCAGGGCUCUCUUGUUCUCCAGGACUCAGUCUCCAUCACUCACAGGAGUUAAUGUAGCUCUGCGAUGUCACCUGUAGAGGUAGUGUCCUUUUUGCAGUGCUCAGCCUGGACACUUGCGCCAUCUGCUUGAUGGGUUCUUGUGCUGUCCAUCAGAAGAAUCAGAUACGAGCACAACUGCCACUGAAUCGGGACUCUCUGUUCUUACGUUCAAAUACAAGGGAAGCAGCACCUGAUGGACAGAAAUCCAGGCUGACUCAAAUGAAGGACGAAGGUGUACAGCUGUUCCUGGGUCUCUAGGGUAGGGAGGGUCCCAGUCUCUGGCGUCGGGUUCCAGUUGUGCCUGCACUCUUUCUCAUCAUGCUGUUUCAUGCCACAGAUGUCUCACUGCCAUCUCAAGUCCCCCACCCUUGGGCGCGAAUUUUACUAUGCUAAUAACAUAAAUGGAACUGUGGGUUACUCCAGUGACUCUUCUACGCCGGGCUCUUAUUUUCUAUCACCUGGAAUUUGCUCCUCAUGGUCUGGGAAAGUUCCUAAUUGGGUUUGGAGCUGGGCAGAUUGCUACCCUGCUUCAGGGGGUUUGAUUUUAAUGAUCCUGUUUUUGGUGGUACCUCUGCUGACCUCAGAGUCCGAGAGGUCUGAGCUGACUCCCCACUUCUGGUCUCCGGGCGCGUUGUCUUAAUUCUAAAGCCUUGGAGACCGGGCUGCUCUUUAAUUCCUCGUUUUCUGGUGUCCGUGAACCUCAUGAGCCUGAGAUCUAGCUUGCCUGUGUCAUUUCCCCUGCUGGGGAGAUUUCACCACCUUUGCCUUAAGGACUCCCGUUUCUCGGGGGCCCCCUGACUACCUCUUAUGUGCUCAUGUGUUUGCUCUAGAAAUUUUGACUCCCAAAACCACCAGGCAGAUGGCCUGGUUUCAGACCGUGUCCCUACACUUGUUACCUGGUAUGGGGAGGAGCUGCGUGGGGGUUUCAAUGCUUCAGCUCAGAUCCUCAGCAAAUGUGACCAAGUACCCCGAGUCACAGGAUCGCUCUGCACUUGAUUCGAGUUGCAGCUUCUGACCUACCUGGGGCUCAGUUCAUCAGGUGGGGAAGUUGACCUCAAAAGAAGGGUCCUGCAGAUACCAAGUGAGCUGGAGGUGAUCUGGAAUCGAUGCAAGGUCCCUUGGUGGCCCCCAGAGAACUUCCAGGUAUCCCUGUGCUUCUGUGGUCUCCUCCCUGUGAACCUGGGCUCAUCUUAGGACUUUUUUAACCUAGUGGUUCUCAACGCAGGGAUGAUCUUUGCCCUCUGGAGGCACUGGACAAUCUCUAUGGAUGACACAUCUUGGGGGUGGGAUGGGAACACUGUCAUCGAUGGCUGGAGGUCUGCUAAACAUGCCACCACACAUCAAACGGCCACCUCUGACUCCUUCACACCAGAGAGGACUUAGCACCAGAGAGGACCUGCGUCCUCCUCCUACCUCCCCUGGCCACGCGAAGCCUCAGGACAUCCUCAUGUUCUUUCUCCAGGGGUUGAAGGAGCACCUAGCUGGAGGUCUCCCCUGAAGGCUGGUCAAUCACAUCUCUGGAGACCCAGGGACCUGAGUCUCUGCAACUGAGCCAUGGCAAUGCCAAUCAGAAAAGGAAAAGACCAGGUCCCAGGACAAGUUCCCACAACUACCAGGAGCAGGGCCAGGCAGCAGAUGGAAAAGACUCCAGACCUGGAGUCGAGAGCACUUCUAUAAAACAUAGGGAGGAAAAGGUGUCUACAUCAAAGCUUCAUUGACGACAGAUAAGAGGGGCAGGUCGUGUGAAGCAGGGCAAGCUCUGGGCUGGGGCAGGCCAUGAGGAGUGGCUUCGUGCUGCGGGCUCAGCGGUUGCAUCAGAGCAAACAGGGCGCGGCCGCCUUUUUCUCCAUGGACUUAGGUCAUGGUUUCACAUACAUUCAGGACCGUGCAGUAGGGUCUGUGGGUUUCCCAGCAGCUGCUAACUGAUUAACUUCCCCUCCCCACUCUCUAGCCUUUGUAGUUAAAUUCAAGACAACUCAGGAUUUUCCUUUACAUCAUGGGACUGGGGACCCCGACCCUUCAGAAGGCUUCUGGCUUCGGAAGCUCGCCAGGGGAGCCUCAGCAGCCUUCCCUGAUCUCGUUUGUCGCUUCUGGUCAGCAUCCAGCCUGUCUCUGGAAGCCUCUCCAGCCCCCAGAACCAGCUAGUUAGUCACACGGUCAUUUGUCUGGUGAGGAGGUCAGUUGGUAGCUCUGGCUUUCACAUGUGUGGUUAAAAUGAAUUGGCCAAAUUGCAUCUUCUGCUUUGGGAGACGGUUUGGCAGGGAAAGUGGACACCUACGUGGCGAUUCAGGCUUUUCAAUCCCACAUCAAAAUAACUGAAAAUGUAUGUCCAAGAAGACGAACAGGGAAUGUUCACAGAAGCUUUAGACAUCAUUGCCCAAAACUAAUAACACCCACAUGACCAUCAACAGGAAAAUGGAAAACAAACCAUGCUCUUCCCAUGACAAUGGCAUCCUACUCAGGAAUAGCAAGGAACAAGUUACGGAUACGGGAAAUGGGUGAAUUUAAAAGCCAUUAUAUUAGGUGAAAAAAAGCAUAUGUCUGCACAGGAUCUACUAUGCAUCUAAUUAUAUGUAAUUCUAGGAAAAGCAAAAUCAAGCUGAAAGUGAUAGGAAACCAGAACAGUGGUUUCCCUGGGGCCGUGGGCCUGGGGAUCAGCGGGAAGACGUGGGAGGGAUAUUCUGGGGCAUUGGGCUAUGGAUUGUGCCUGGGAUGGUGGUGACACUGCAUUUGUCAAAACAAAUCCAUCUGUGUUUCUCAGAACUGGGCAUGUUUGAAUAUGUAAUUUUGACCUCAGUUGUUUUGUUUUCAAUUUUUUUAAAUAAAAAAAAAUAGAUCAUUUUAAAAGCAAGAAUUAUUUGGUCAGGCCCCAGCUAUUCCAAAGCAAAGGCUUGUCCACCAGCUAGUCAUGACCAGUCACACACACAACUGGCUGCAUUUAUUAGGAUGGGUCGGUGUCGGUGGAAUGAUUAAUUUUUGUUCAUUUUUGAUUGGUCUGAGGGGGCUACUGGGAUAGAUCUUAGUCAAUCAGAGAAAUAGCUGCAGCCUUCUGGAUUUGGGAGUGGAAGGGGUGCCUCUUUGUUGGACAAAUACCAACCACAGAGAAGAGUUAGCCUUGGACUGCCUGCUUUCCACCCAGGCUCCCCCACUAUCUAGCUCUGUGGCCCUGGGCAAAUCACUCACCCUGGGGAGCCUCAGUGUUCUCACCUGUGAAAUUCAGAAAAUCAUUUUACCUAUUACACAGGGAUGGCCAGAUGAACAGGUGGGGUGAUUGGUCUAUAGUGCCCAGCCCAGGAGCCAACUGGAGGUAAUGACAAGAAUGUCCCCCAUCCCCAGUGACCCCAGACCCUCCUAUUUGGGGGGGAAAUAGAUGAUGAAUUCACCCUUUCUUGGUCUUUCAGGCAUCCUUGUAGGGAACUUUCAAUUUUUUUUUUUUUUUUUUGAGACAGGGUUUGUCUACGUUGCCCAGACUGGCCUCAAACUUGUGAUGGCCUCCUGUGUUAUUUGGAUUCCAGGCAUUUUUAAUUAAAAAGAGAAGCAUGGAUAGGGCAAUCCAAAGGAAUAUCUUGCUCCACUGAAGAUCCAGGUGCCUUCAGGAGCUCUAUCUUUUAGGUCAGGGGCUCCAAUCCGGAGUGACCCCUCUCUGCUAUCUCCCAAUAAAUUAAUAACAACUGGAUGCCCACCUGAUUCACCUGCUCAGCAGAGGAAGAGACGUUGGUAGUGAGGGACCAGGGGAAUUCUGAGCCUGGGAACAUGCUGGAGGCCUGCUAAGGUCAUGUUAGGAUCAUAGCCAGUACUUAUUAAGGGCUCACUGCGUGUCAUGUGAUAUAAUCCUGUCAUGUUAAAUUGUCAGUGCCACUUCAUGGGCCCAUAAUCAUUGGUAAGGGUGAAUAUGGAGGCUGAUCAUGGAGGUGUUGCUUGCUGGUGUCAGAUCUAGAUACAAACCCAUAGUUUGACCUUGAAGGUUUAUUGGGCUACUAACCUGUUAGGCCAGCCACUCUGCCCUGCAGUUCUCACCUCUGACCACCAAGAGGUGCCACUGCUUCACACAUGAGCGCUGUCAUAAAUUUGCACUAGAAGAGACAACUUCUUCAAAAUCAUUGUCACUACUUCCUCAUUUCUCACAACAAUAAUAGCUACUAUUCAUUUAAGCGUUUGCAUGCAUGCCGGACCCUGCACCCUGCAUUUCACACACUUUAUUUCAUAUCUUCUCACUAUAGUUCUAGGAGUUGAGACAGGACUGCAUCACACAGAUAAGAAGCUAAGGUUCAAAACCAGGUCUGAGUGUCUGUCUUCAAAGCCCACCCUUCACCAGACACUUGUGGGGGAUCACAAUGGAGAUGCUCAGAGGCGGCAUCUAGCUGGCCCGUGUGGGCUUUUGUCUGUUUGUGGUGAGGAGGGUGGUUUUGAGCACACUUUGUUCCUGUCACCUGCCCGGCCCUGAUGACAUUUGCAUUUGCAACUCUACUUGUGCUGAUAAUAGUUUCCUGGUUCCAUUUAUACUAAUGACAUUUUGUGGACUGGAGUCAAAGGAGCUAAGGAAAAUACCUGAGGGGAAGCUUGGAGGUACGGGAAGGCACGUGGGAAAGGUGACACAGGGGUAGGGAUGUGGGCAAGUGGCCCACCUUGCACUGCCCACAGCUGACCUACCAGGGGAUGCCGUUUCUGCUGUGGAAAGCAUGCACAGCCCCUGACCAGAUGCAUGGAUUCCCUGGGAUGAGCAGUGGCGGGCUGGAGAUGUGGCACAUUCUAUUUCACAGGAUCCUCCCAGAAGAGGGACCCGGUGACUCUUUGCACCCAUACAGAGCCUAUCCAUCCUGUUAAAAUGAGGCUGUUAGAAUAGGCUGAGUCCAAACUGCACGGUUUCCUUGUGGGAGGAAAUUUGGACACACAGCCACCAGGGGUGUGUGCCCAGAUGGAUGACCAAGUGAGGACACGGUGAGAGGGUGUCAUCUGCAAGCCGAGGAGAGAGACCUUAGAAGGAACCGACCCUGCUGGCACCAUGAUCUUGAACUUGCAGCCUCUGGAACUGAAAGGAAAGAAAGGAAAUUCCUUUAGUUUAAGCCCCGAGAGUGUGGCAUUUCCUGACGACAGCUCGAGUAGAUGAAUAAUGCACUGUCUUCGUGAAAGAUGGACUGGGCCGGGCGUCAGCAGGGCUGAGCUGGGAGUCUGGGUCCUAGAGCCAGCCUGAGGCAGGAAGAUGCAGGGGCCUGGGCACCUCCCAAGCCCCCUUCUCCCCAGGGUGAGACAGGAGUCCACAGGGAGCAACUGAUGCCUUUGGUUCCUCGAAUGCUUACUCUUAGGGAUGAGGACUAUCGCUUCUUCAUUGUCAAGAGCACACAGAAGCCAGACUCUUGGUUUCUAGGUUCUCAACUAUGGUCUAGGAGUAAACUGAAGCAUCUGGGCGGGAGACACGGUGUAGCACUCCCCCAGCCGGAGCAGCCAUCGGAGGGGAAGAGGCUGCGUGUCCCUGUGAGCUUGAAGGCAGAAAGGACAGACAGGAAACCCAGAAGUUCCCAGAGACGGGGAAGAAAGCAACGUGCCAGGAAAUAGGAAAGAUAUGGCCUUCGACAUUUGGUGGCCACGCUGGAGCCUGGAGCACAGUGGAGCCGUCUGUGAGGGUCAAGACACUGCCCAGAUAAGCCGGCCAUUGGCACAGGGGUGGGAGGAGGCAUUUGCAGAGCCCAGCACUGAUUCCCUGCGCGCCCUUUCUUAGCACCGGAAGACGCCAUCCACCACAACAAAGAAGCACAGCAAGAGAGAGGAAGAGAUGGACCCCGAGAAGAGAAGACCCUUCACCGCAGAAGGCAGAGGACUUUGCUCAGUAACAAUGAGGGAGGCUGGCAGGUGACAGCUGGGAUAGCGGAGGGGAGACCUGCCCACCUUCCCUGAUCGCUGACACGGCCACCCGUUCUGCUCACAGUCCUCGUGUUGCCCUUGACAUUGCUACGACUUGAAGUCUUAAGUGUAUUUCUUGGUUGAUGUUUGUGUCUCCUGCUAAGAGCAGGUCCAAGGGGGUGGGGAUCGGCCUGCUCUCUUCUUUAUCCCUUUGUCUCGGCAUUAAGUACAGCUAUUAUUAAACACCUGUUGAGUGAAUGCCAACUAACUCCUGUCCAUAUUGAAUGCUGUCCUCUGGGGGGGCAGCCUUCCUCCAUGGCUCUCAUGGCAGAAGGGCAAGCCCGGGGAAAGCCAGGGAACAGAGACGGACAGGUGGGUGGUGGGCGGGGGGGCUUUCUAGAGCAAGACCACAGGAGAGGGCAGAGGCACCUCCAACUCCCGUGUGCAGAGUGAAGCAGGCCAGACUCAGGGUUACAGCAGUCUCUGAUGCUCCGCCCAGGUUCUUAAAAAAAACCUACGACAUAAUAGUCAACAAGCAUUGGGUUGUUGACCCUCUGCACAUACCAUCCCUUGGCAAUCCUAAUGCCCAUUUUGUGUGGUAUGUAAUAGUAUCCCCGUUCUUCAGAUGGGAACAGCAAGGCCUAGAGAAAGAUAGGCAAACAGCAUUGAUUAAAUUGUUCCAUUUAGCUCGUCCCUUUCCCCCACUCGUUUAAUUGUUAGGCUGAACUGUGGUUAUGACCAAUACAGGUUUUCACAUGAAGGGAACCAAUCUUCAAGCAGACGGUUUCCCAGGUGUCACAGCCAGGAAGUGAACCCACAGUCUGUGCCACAGUCUGGGCUUCUUCCCAGACACUGUGCAACCUCCAUUGUGUUUAAAGCCUCUCUGGUCCUGCCCUGCUGGAAUUCACAGUGAAAACUAAGCCAUCCUGUCUAGAACCGUGCCCACAGCCCACCACCCUUGAUUUCCUUCAUUUAAAGGAGAGUGAUCGUUCCUCAGGUCCACUUUACGGGGUAGAAAUCAUUUUGCAGAAAUAAAUAUGUCCAACAAUUCACCAUGUUCUGUAUAAACAUUGAUACUUUGGCUCAGGAGGCUGAGGCAGGAGGAUUGGGAGUUCAAAGCUAGCCUCAGCAACUUAGGGAGGCCCUAAGCAACUCAGUGAGGUUCUGUCUCUAAAUAAAAUACAAAAAAUAAAAAAAAAGGGCCGGGAUGUGGCUCAGUGGGUAAGUGUCCCUGAGUUCAAUCCCCAGUACCAAAAAUACAAAACAAAACAAAACAAAAAAACCCAAACAAACAAAUCUUAAUACUUAAAAAAAUGAUAAGCAGGUGGGACAAAAUUCUUUCUCAAAUGCUGCAUGUCCCUAAGGUACAUGGAGCCAAAGUCAUUGCGUUGAUAUCUGAGGGGCAGCCAGUGUGUGUAGGACACUUUGGCUCUGCACCCAAGCAUCCCCAGGCCUCCAAGUUCCCAACAUCUCACCAAGGCCUCAAAUCUGCUUCUCCCCAUCGCCCUGCCUCCUCCCACUGUCCAGCCUAGUGUUUCCUGAUCUUCCUGAGAUGUGGGAGCCUGGUGGAUGAGGACUUCGGGGUUGUGGGUAGAGGGCAGAUCGGGGCUCCUGUGAGUCCAGGCCCAGAGCUCUGGUGCCCGAGAGCUCGGCCUCAGGGUCUUGUUUCCUGUGUGUGUAAGGAACUUGGGAAGGGAGGCAGUCGGGUUCCGACAGGUGACUCCUUAAUUCUCAGCCCCGUGCAAAUGAUGUAACCUCCGGCAGGUACCCCACCUCUCUGGCCAUGUGUGGCAGGAACCUUUGCCCUGGUGAGUGCCACCAACUUGCAUUUCCCCCAGGUGCAUUUUCUCUGGAAAAUUCUAUCUCCUCACCCUGCAGACUCACAACGGCCACCAGAAAGUGGAAAGCAGGGACCUGUGAGCCUCCAGGCCUUGCUCCCCAGAACUUCCACAUGAUCCUCUGCUUACUCGCCACUGGCUGACUGGCCACUGGGGACCCAGCAGGGACUCCGAGGCCUGAGGGGUGGCAGAGCCACUAGGGAGCAGAACCCUGGUUCUGAGUUUCCUGGGGCUUUGGAAAUGGACCGACCAGGAGCACCAGCACCGGGGUGAGCCAGGCGCAAACUUCUACCGAGGUGGAAGAACUGGUGCUGCCACGUGGCCUGGCCCCUCCUGUCCAGGGCACCGCACCCGGAAAGGGCUUCUGUGUGGAGAGGACAUGGUGGUAAUGAGCGUUGUGGGGAAACCAUCUAAGGACCCAGGUUCAUUGACUCACGGUGGCUACUAUCCCUGAAGAAGAGACAUGACGGCCACGUCCAUCCACCUGUGACAGCGACACCCUCCUGCCCCGCCCACUGCACCCGCCUGACACUUUGAAUCCUUGCCCUCCAGCCUCUGGUGGGCUCCCGGUUUGGGACAAUUUGAGAAGCAGAGCCAAUUAGUACCUGGCAUGUAGAGUGAUUUUUUUAAAAAUCCCAGUUCUAUGAUAGCAUGACAGAGCUUUUUCGCAAAUGAAUUCUUUCAAACUCUUAAGGGCUGAGAAUCCCCUUGUUGACACAUGUGUGUGCGUGUGCUGUACACCAGUAUGUACGGCUGUGUGGCUCAUGUGUGGGCAUGUGUGUGUGCACAUGAUGGACAUGUUUGUGCAAGAUGCACUUAUGUGUCCUGUGGGUGGAUGUGUAGGGCAUGUGUGCACGUGGGAUGUGUGUUUACACAUGUAGUGCAGGUGUGAACACAGUGUGCAUGUGUAUGACACAUGUGCAUGCAGCUACGUGUGUGGAACACAUGCCUCCGUGAGCUACAUACACAUGUGUACUUGUGUGUGGUGUGUGUGUAAUGUGCCCUUGGGUGGGUUUGAUGUAAGUGUAUUUGUGUGGUGUGUGCAUUCAUCUGUACAUACCUUGGGUGGUAUCUGUGUUAUCACACAUGCACACCAACCACACCUGUGCACCAACACACACGUACAUACAGACAUGUACCUUGCACCCCCUGAACACACCGUGCACAGCCAUGAACACCAUGCACAUGGAGAGGUACCCACCACACACGUAUGCACACAUGCUACUCACAAACACAUGCAUGCCACAUGUAUGCACCCCAUCCCACACACGUGGGCACUUUACAAACCCCAGCCGCUCUCAUGCUGUCCGCACAUGCGCCAUUUCACUCCACCUGUGCUGGGCGAGCGGGCAGGGCAGGCUGGGUGUGGGAGGGGGAUGUCGAGGUGGUGUUUGGAUAAGCAUCGUGCAUGAGCCUCACCUUCAACCAGCUCUGCUCCAGAUUACAGAGGUCCUCACGCAGCCACUGUGGGGGUUCCUUGUCUCCAAUUCUUCCAGGAGAAUCCUCCAACAUUCUCCAGGAGCUGCAGUCGGAGUGCCAAAUGCUCUGGGGGUCCUGGGAAUGGGGAAGCCUGGCGUGCUGGAGUCAAGUGUCAACCCCAACCUUGAUCCCAACCUGACCUCCACACUGACCUCCACACUGACCCCAACCACGACUGUAACAUUAGCCCAACUCUAACCACUGAUGGGGCACAGCCCAGGUGUCACCUGCCCCAGGAAGCCUUCGAGACCCCGGCUGGAUAGGGUGCCCCUCUUCUGCAUCUCUUGGCUCCCUUUUGGCAAGGUCCCGUGGUAUUUUUAAGUUUAUAUGUUUAUGGUUUAGAAAAUAAAGUUAUAGUUUAUAAUUAAUUAAAUAUUACUGUUUUCUUUCUUUUUUUAUUGGUUGUUCAAAACAUUACAGAGCUCUUGACAUAUCAUAUUUAAUAUUACUGUUUUC